GGCAUAAUAAUUUCUUCAAUUUUUUUGAUGCAGAAGAUCAGAAUUAUUCUAUAUAGAUAUGAAAUUGGGCUUCAUGACAUUGUUAUUCAAAAGGCAUAAUAAUUUCUUCAAUUUUUUUGAUGCAGAAGAUCAGAAUUAAUCUAUAUAGAUAUGAAAUUGGGCUUCAUGACAUUGUUAUUCAAAAUUUCCAAACAGGCGAUAAAUGACUGUUUGUUUCGCCAGCUGGCGACAAGCGUCACUCACACCUAUGGAGAUGAACUUUGCUCUCCAACGAAAACCAGUGACUCACUUCCUGGCUUCGGCGGCUUGAUCCGAACUUCUGCCCCGCGCUGGUCGAUGGAUAUACGUCCA